CGAGAAGGCGAGUUUGAGCAAGAUGGAGAAGCAGGGCACGUGCAUUACUAACUCCGGCCAACGAAAACAGCCGCCCAGUUGAUCAUAAAACAUAGUAAUGAUCAGUUUGGCAGAAUGAGUUAGUGGUUCAUGUGCCCAUCUUCACCAUCAUGACCACUCAACCUUAAUUACUACAAAUUCUUUUUUGAGGUGACGAGAGAAACUCACAGCCACAGAGUCACUACUCGAAGGUGUGUAUUGGGUAAACUUUACAUUGUGAUCCUAGUCAAUAAAGGACCACAAGGAGGUAAACCAGCCUAAAUUGCCCAUAACUGAUCGGCCCAAACCAAGAAGACUAAGAUUCGAACUCGUGACCUCGUGGUUACAAGUUUGUAUCCUUAGCCUUUGAGGUCAAAUUCUUGAUUGCAGGGCUGCUGCUCAUCUCCAGCGCUGUGUGUCGGUAGCUCCCAGGAAUGGCCAGAAAAGAAUCACAAGAAUAGGUUGCCUAUAGCUGACUGGUUCAAACCAAGAAGUCAAUAGGCCACUCUCCUGAGAAUCGAACUUGGAACUUUAUAUUACCGGCGGACAGCUUGACCAGCUUGAAUUGGUUGGGAUUACCCUCUUUACAUUUUCUUGAUCUAUCAUAUAUAAUAUAUUUGGUGAAUGUAUUAAAAAAUAUAUAUAUAUUCAUAUCCCACUGCUGCAAAUUAAAGGACAGAAGAAAACAUCAAAAAAGAAAAGGCUCAAAACAGAACAUACAAUUAAGGAGAAUUCAUAUUCCUAAGAAGUAAAAAUAUGAUUUCUUCACAUCAAUAAUGGAAAACUGGGCAAGAUUGAAUGACAAGGAGAGGCCAUUGGCACAGCACAGUAGCAAGGUGAAGGGUCAUUGACACUUGACAGAGAUCAUAAUCAAUAUAAUAGUUUGGAUGGUUUUUUAAUAAAUUAAAGUUGUAAUGAAGGACACAAAUUUCCUGAUUAUUAUGAAGACAAAAAAAAAGUUUUUAGAUGCAGUGUGUGUCUCUGUAGAAAAAUUCCUUGGUGAAAUUAUAUUUGUGUUAUGCAAAAGGGGUACGAGGUUGCUUGUUGCUAUCAUAAAGUGGGUUAUGUUAUGUAAGAUGCAUCAGAGCAGAAUGAUGUUUUGUUGGAAUUCUUGGGGAAAUUGAAUACUGUUUCGUCUGCUUUCUUUUCAUUGUCUCAA